UACGUAGGGUGCGAGCGUUGUCCGGAAUUACUGGGCGUAAAGAGCUCGUAGGUGGUUUGUCGCGUUGUCCGUGAAAACUCACAACUCAAUUGUGGGCGUGCGGGCGAUACGGGCAGACUGGAGUACUGCAGGGGAGACUGGAAUUCCUGGUGUAGCGGUGGAAUGCGCAGAUAUCAGGAGGAACACCGGUGGCGCAGGCGGGUCUCUGGGCAGUAACUGACGCUGAGGAGCGAAAGCGUGGGGAGCGAACAGG
rnacentral:rRNA from 1 species